GACGAACGCUGGCGGCGUGCCUAAUACAUGCAAGUAGGACGCAGUUGCGAACGGGUGAGUAACGCGUAGGUAACUACCUAUUAGAGGGGGAUAACUAUUGGAAACGAUAGCUAAUACCGCAUACUAGUAGAUGGACCUGCGUUGUAUUAGCUAGUAGGUAGGGUAAUGGCCUACCUAGGCAACGAUACAUAGCCGAGCUGGGAGGGUGAUAGGGCACACUGGGACUGGGGACCGGGCCCGGCGCCUACGGGAGGGCGCGGGAGGGAAUCUUCGGCAAUGGGGGGAACCCUGACCGGGCAACGCCGCGGGAGUGAAGAAGGUUUUCGGAUCGUAAAGCUCUGUUGUUACGGAAGCGGUACUUAACCAGAAAGGGACGGCUAACUACGUGCCAGCAGCCGCGGUAAUAC
rnacentral:rRNA from 1 species